UGCCUUUAUAUAGGCCCCUGCAUGAUUAAAUUUUGUAUUGUGUUUCAAGAGAACUGGCAUAUAUCUUUAUUGUAUAAUUAUGUAAAAAUGACACAUGGCCUUGAAAAGAAUGAUUGUAACACUCAUAUUCUGUGCUUAUUUCAGAAACUACAACUUUGUUAUGUAUUGAGCCACUUUAAGUCAAUAAAAACAGCAACUUAUGGUAUAUUACUUUUUUUCAUAGACACAAAGUUACGAAACCUGCUGAAGCAGAAGCAUCUGCUUCAAACGUACAUAUAGGAACCGAAGUUGAUACUGCUACCAAUAUAUCUGUACCAGACAACAAUGAAGUGCAUAUACAUGAUCACGAGUAUACAGCAUCAAACCCUCAACAUUUAAAAAGCUUCCCUUGAAGACUAGGAUGUUGUAAACUUGCAGUGAGAAAUAUACCUGCUUAAUUAAAGGAAACCAUCCUUGACAAUUGGGAACAUCAUAAUUGAAAGACCCUGGAAAGGGAUCAUGAACACUGUUGGGAGUGUCCAUUCAACUGAAAUAUAAAAGUCAGAAGAAUUGAAGAUUGCAAUGGAUGCAACAGAAGUGACCUAAUAUGACCAAAUUGAUAUGAAUAGCCAGUUUUUCGCUUGCAAUAAUGACAAGAGUCGCCACAAAGAAAAGACCUUAAUGUGUAUUACACCUAAUGCAGCUUAUUUCCAAUCUGUGCUGGAUACAAAUCUAAUUUGGCAAUUGUGAACCAUUGUGGCGUUUUAGAGAAGUUGCAAGUUGGUGAUAUAUUCCUGGCGGACAAAGGAUUUUGUAUAUUUGACAAACCUCCAAAUGACAUGACACUUAAUAUCCCAUUCUUUCUUACAAAUAAAUCCCACUUCUCAAAAGAGGAUGCACAACUUUGCUAUAAAAUUUCCAGAUGCAGAAUCCAUGUUGGAUGGGAAAAUGAGAGAAUUUUUUUUUUUUAAAAAUUCCUUAGCCAUAUUCUAUCAUAGUAUAGAUAUUGAUCUGACAAAAUAUUUCAGAUUUUGUGGAUCAUGUGAAUUUGCAGGUUCCCCUUUUGAAGGAGAUUGCAGAUAAAUCCUACAAACUUAUUAGAUUAAGUGCAUGUAUAUAUAUACCUUAAAUCUGCACAUAUCUGCCACAUUGAAUUUUUAAAGUUAAAAGUAAUGAAUACCAUAUAUGCAAUAUAACUUUUCUACAUAUUUAUAUAAAUAUAAAGCCUUUUAUAUUCAUAUGAAUAUAAAGCCCUUUGGAACGUCUCCAUCAGAAUGAAAUAUUCUCGAGAGGAACGUUAAACAAUAUACAAUCAAACAUAAAGCCUUUUGUUCUCAUUCUGAAGGUUUUCAAAUCUGCAUUAUUAAAAAAGAAGUAAAAUCCAUUGUUUUAGUAAAUGCAUGUAAUUGAAUGAUUUUUGUAAAGCUGGACACUGUGUCUAUACAUACAUGUAUUUUGGUUCAUCUAAAAUAAGAAAAACUCUGUCUAUAAAUGUUUAUUCAAUAAAUAUACAUGUAAUUACAUAACUUUGAUAGAUGCACCACUGAUAUCAUAAUAAAGUAUAUGUACAUGUG